UGACGAUUAGCUCAGAUGGUAGAGCGUAUGCACUUUUAAUGCGCAAGGCGCAGGUUCGAGCCCUGCAUCGUCAG
rnacentral:tRNA from 2 species